rnacentral:rRNA from 1 species
GACGUAGGUGGCGAACGUUAUCCGGAAUUAUUGGGCGUAAAGGGUGCGUAGGCGGCAUGAUAAGUUAUUGGCGGCAAAUCGAGGCUCAACCUCGUGGAAACUGAUAAUACUGUCUUGCUUGAGUGCAGAAGAGGUUAACGGAACUCCAUGUGGAGCGGUAAAAUGUGUUGAUAUCGGAAGGAACGCCGGUGGCGAAAGCGACACACUGGGUCUCAACUGACGCUGAGGCACGAAAGCCAGGGGAGCGAACGGG